GUUUUUGUCGGGGACGAAUUGUAUAGGUACAGCUCUUUUAAAAAAGAGGAAGAAAACUAUUGAAAGAGAUCUUAAUCUUUAAAACGUUUUUGAAAGGGAGAUAUUGAUUACGAAAAAAAAAGAACAAAGUUAAAUUGAGAGCAACAAGACGGCAAUGAAAUAUGGACACGCCCACGGAGUCGGCAAACAGAAAUGUGUGUUUACUAACUUUAGGUGACAUUACGGAUGGACAGCUUGAGAAUAUAAGUAAAGAACAUUGUUAUAGCAGAGGUCUAAAACCUAAAUACUUGGAACUACAUGAUGAUGUAGAUGGUCAACAAGAACAUAUCCAGUCUUUGUCACCAGAUGAUUGCUUUGAUGACAACUAUGAUGCAUGUCAAUCAUAGAUUGAAAGCGAAAAAGAUGAGGAUGAGGAAGAAGAGGAGGGGGCUCUUGGAGGUCGCAGGAUUGUAGAGUUGAGUGUUUUGGCUGCAAAAUUAGAUGAAGGCUGCAAUAAUUGCUCUACAGAGCUAAAACUUUCAUCCUGUGUUGGAGAAACCAGAUAUGGCCUAGAUAUCUAAGACAUUAAUUAGUUUUCCUUCUAUUUAUAAUUAUCUGAAUAGAUGACCAUAUGUCAUUUAAUUUAAAAUAUAUCAAUCUUUAAAAUUAUAAGAGAGGGUAGAUAACUUACAAUUUCAAAAUACACAAGUUGUUGAACAUUUCUUUUAUUAUAGGCAGCCUCCUUAAAAUUCAUUGCAAUAAUUGCAAUGAAAUUAAUAAUGUACCUAUUGGCAAGAGACAUGGUCAAAAUACAUGGGAUAAUAAUACAAAAUUGGGCGCAGGCAUUAUAUUAACUCUAUUGAUUGAUAGAUAAUUGUUAAAUUAUAAAACAUGAAAGAAAAUUAAUAAUGGAUUUCUAAUAUCAAAUCUUGAAAAAAAAUUUAUUUCCAUUGCAGCUGUGGUAUUUUGUAGACUUGGAGUAAUGACCGUUAACAAUUUCCUUGCUGCUUUGAAUAUUCCCACUGUAACUUCUGUAACUUUUAAGAGACGAGAGAGGGAGGUUGGCAAUAUUUUUGAAGCUGUUGCAAAUGAGACUUGUAAUGAAGC